AUUGAACGCUGGCGGCAUGCCUUACACAUGCAAGUCGAACGGUAACAGGUCUUCGGAUGCUGACGAGUGGCGAACGGGUGAGUAAUACAUCGGAACGUGCCCGAUCGUGGGGGAUAACGGAGCGAAAGCUUUGCUAAUACCUCAUACGAUCUACGGAUUUAAGCAGGGGACCGCAAGGCCUUGCGCGGACGGAGCGGCCGAUGGCAGAUUAGGUAGUUGGUGGGAUAAAAGCUUACCAAGCCGACGAUCUGUAGCUGGUCUGAGAGGACGACCAGCCACACUGGGACUGAGACACGGCCCAGACUCCUACGGGAGGCAGCAGUGGGGAAUUUUGGACAAUGGGCGAAAGCCUGAUCCAGCCAUGCCGCGUGCAGGAUGAAGGCCUUCGGGUUGUAAACUGCUUUUGUACGGAACGAAAAGACUCUUUCUAAUAAAGAGGGUCCAUGACGGUACCGUAAGAAUAAGCACCGGCUAACUACGUG
rnacentral:rRNA from 1 species